UACGUAGGGUGCAGGCGUUGUCCGGAAUUAUUGGGCGUAAAGAGCUCGUAGGCGGUCUGUCGCGUCGGCUGUGAAAUCCCGAGGCUCAACCUCGGGUCUGCAGUCGAUACGGGCAAACUGGAGUGUUGCAGGGGAGACUGGAAUUCCUGGUGUAGCGGUGAAAUGCGCAGAUAUCGGGAGGAACACCGGUGGCGAAGGCGGUUCUCUGGGAAUAUCCUGACGCUGAGGAGCGAAAGUGUGGGGAGCGAACAGG
rnacentral:rRNA from 1 species